AUUCUGGCUCAGGAUGAACGCUAGCUACAGGCUUAACACAUGCAAGUCGAGGGGCAGCAUGUUGGUGCUGCAACCAAUGAUGGCGACCGGCGCACGGGUGAGUAACGCGUAUCCAACCUUCCCCUUAGUAGAGGAUAGCCCGGCGAAAGUCGGAUUAAUACUCUAUGUUCUUCAAUGCGGACAUCUAAGUUGAAGCAAAGAUUUAUCGCUAAGGGAUGGGGAUGCGUCUGAUUAGGUUGCAGGCGGGGUAACGGCCCACCUGGCCUACGAUCAGUAGGGGUUCUGAGAGGAAGGUCCCCCACACUGGUACUGAGACACGGACCAGACUCCUACGGGAGGCAGCAGUGAGGAAUAUUGGUCAAUGGGCGCGAGCCUGAACCAGCCAAGUAGCGUGCAAGGACGACUGCCCUAUGGGUUGUAAACUGCUUUUAUCAGGGAAUAAAGUGAGGCACGCGUGCCUUUUUGUAUGUACCUGAUGAAUAAGGACCGGCUAAUUCCGUGCCAGCCGCCGC
rnacentral:rRNA from 1 species